AGCGAACGUUAGCGGCGGGCUUAACACAUGCAAGUCGAGCGAGAAAGGUAGCAAUACCCUGUAAAGCGGCGGACGGGUGAGGAACACGUAGGUAAUUUUCCGUUCAGCGGGGGACAACGUUUCGAAAGGAACGCUAAUACCGCAUACGUUCACUGGGACUUCGGUCUUGGUGAGGAAAGCUAGGUAGCAAUAUCCGGCACUGAAUGAGAAGCCUGCGUCGCAUCAGCUAGUUGGUGGGGUAAUGGCCUACCAAGGCUAAGACGCGUAGCUGGUCUGAGAGGAUGAUCAGCCACACUGGGACUGAGACACGGCCCAGACUCCUACGGGAGGCAGCAGUGGGGAAUAUUGGACAAUGGGCGAAAGCCUGAUCCAGCCACGCCGCGUGAGUGAUGAAGGCCUCGGUCGUAAAGCUCUGUGGGAGAGACGAACCGCCAGGGUAAUAGCCGCUUGGCAUGACGGUAUCUCCUUAGCAAGCACCGGCUAACUUCGUGCC
rnacentral:rRNA from 1 species